AAAUUAUUUAUUCCCAUUAACAGCCGUGUUGAGCGCAGCUAUCCUAACCGUAAGCUCGUCCACCAGCUUGUCUUUCGGGACCUCGUUUUCCUCUCUCGUCGUGAUGUUGCGUAUCUUGACGACUCCCCGUUUGAGCUCGUCAUCUCCUAACACCACGGCUAAUGGGAUGCCGGAUUCUUCACAAUGUUGGAGCUGGUUCAGCAUUUUUGGGUUCUUC